rnacentral:rRNA from 1 species
AUCCUGGCUCAGGAUGAACGCUGGCGGUAUGCUUAACACAUGCAAGUCGAACGGUGUCUUCGGACACAGUGGCGGACGGGUGAGUAACGCGUGAGAAUCUGGCUCUAGGUCUGGGACAACCACUGGAAACGGUGGCUAAUACCGGAUGUGCCGAGAGGUGAAAGGUUAACUGCCUAGAGAUGAGCUCGCGUCUGAUUAGCUAGUUGGAAGUGUAAUGGACUCCCAAGGCGACGAUCAGUAGCUGGUCUGAGAGGACGAUCAGCCACACUGGGACUGAGACACGGCCCAGACUCCUACGGGAGGCAGCAGUGGGGAAUUUUCCGCAAUGGGCGAAAGCCUGACGGAGCAAUACCGCGUGAGGGAGGAAGGCUCUUGGGUCGUAAACCUCUUUUCUCAGGGAAGAACACAAUGACGGUACCUGAGGAAUAAGCAUCGGCUAACUCCGUGCCAGCAGCCGCGGUAAUACGGAGGAUGCAAGCGUUAUCCGGAAUGAUUGGGCGUAAAGCGUCCGCAGGUGGCAAUGUAAGUCUGCUGUUAAAGAGUCUAGCUCAACUAGAUAAAAGCAGUGGAAACUACAUAGCUAGAGUACGUUUGGGGCAGAGGGAAUUCCUGGUGUAGCGGUGAAAUGCGUAGAGAUCAGGAAGAACACCGGUGGCGAAGGCGCUCUGCUAGGCCGUAACUGACACUGAGGGACGAAAGCUAGGGGAGCGAAUGGGAUUAGAUACCCCAGUAGUCCUAGCCGUAAACGAUGGAUACUAGGCGUGGCUUGUAUCGACCCGAGCCGUGCCGUAGCUAACGCGUUAAGUAUCCCGCCUGGGGAGUACGCCGGCAACGGUGAAACUCAAAGGAAUUGACGGGGGCCCGCACAAGCGGUGGAGUAUGUGGUUUAAUUCGAUGCAACGCGAAGAACCUUACCAAGGCUUGACAUGUCGCGAAUCCUGGUGAAAGCUGGGAGUGCCUUCGGGAGCGCGAACACAGGUGGUGCAUGGCUGUCGUCAGCUCGUGUCGUGAGAUGUUGGGUUAAGUCCCGCAACGAGCGCAACCCUCGUUUUUAGUUGCCAGCAUUAAGUUGGGCACUCUAGAGAGACUGCCGGUGACAAACCGGAGGAAGGUGGGGAUGACGUCAAGUCAGCAUGCCCCUUACGCCUUGGGCUACACACGUACUACAAUGCUCCGGACAGAGGGCAGCAAGCAUGCGAAUGCAAGCAAAUCCCGUAAACCGGAGCUCAGUUCAGAUCGCAGGCUGCAACUCGCCUGCGUGAAGGAGGAAUCGCUAGUAAUUGCAGGUCAGCAUACUGCAGUGAAUUCGUUCCCGGGCCUUGUACACACCGCCCGUCACACCAUGGAAGCUGGUAGUGCCCGAAGUCAUUACUCCAACCUUUCGGGGAGGAGGAUGCCUAAGGCAGGACUGGUGACUGGGGUGAAGUCGUAACAAGGUACCGUACCGGAAGGUGUGGCUUGGAUACCCUUCCU